rnacentral:lncRNA from 1 species
AUGGAGUUUGGUUUGGACAAAUGUUCGACAGUGGCAUUGAAGAAGGGAAAAAUCAUUGAAAGUGAGGGCAUAAAUAUGCCCAAUGGCCAAACAAUAAGGUGUCACCAGCCAGAGGCCUAUAAAUAUCUGGGCAUAUUGCAACUGGACAACAUCAAGCAUGAACAUGUGAAAACUGUGGUCAGCAAAGAAUACACACAAAGGGUCAGAAAAAUUCUCAAAAGCAAGCUCAAUGGAGGCAACACCAUCAAGGCCAUAAACACCUGGGCCAUACCUGUCAUAAGAUAUACUGCUGGCAUCAUAAACUGGACACAGAUGGAACUGGACAAUUUGGACAGAAAAACAAGAAAACUCAUGACCAUUCAUCAUUCACUGCACCCUCGCAGUGAUGUUGACCGGCUCUAUCUGCCUAGAAGAUCAGGGGGCAGAAGACUCUUGCAAGUAAAACAAGCAGUCAAAGAAGAAGAACAUGCCCUGGCAGAAUAUGUAAAGCAAAGUGAAGAACUUGCUUUGAUUGAAGUCAAAAAUCAGAAACUCCUCAAAGCACAGCAGACAAAAAACCAGUACAAGAAAGCCACACUACAAACUAGAGCUGACAGCUGGCACAACAAAACACUACAUGGAAAGUUCCUUGACAAAAUUGAAGGAAAAGCUGAUAAGGAGAAGACCUGGCUCUGGCUCACGAAUGGGACCCUGAAGAAGGAGACAGAAGGCCUGAUCCUUGCAGCCCAGGAGCAAGCCAUCAGAACAAAUGCAAUUAAGGCCAAGAUCGAAAAAUCAGCUGAUGACCCAAAAUGCAGACUGUGCAAGGAAACCAACGAAACCAUUGAUCAUAUCCUCAGCUGCUGUAAGAAAAUUGCACAGACAGACUACAAACAGAGGCACAACUCUGUGGCCCAAAUGAUUCAUUGGAACUUAUGCCUCAAGUACCACCUCCCAGCAGCAAAGAACUGGUGGGAUCGCAAACCUGCAAAGGUUGUGGAAAAUGAGCACGCAAAGAUACUAUGGGACUUCCGAAUCCAGACUGACAAAGUUCUGGAACACAACACCAGACAUCACAGUUGUGGAAAAGAAAAAGGUUUGGAUCAUUGA